rnacentral:rRNA from 1 species
AUGACCAAGAGCUCCCAAGUUUCUCUCCCUACAUCUUGUGUUCAUUGUUCUGCUAAUCAUGAUUGUGCAAUGAGUUCUUCUGUGUUAUUGAAUGUCGUGAUUGGCAAGUGUGAUCAAGCGACUCCGGUGUCAGCACCGAAGUUUCACAACUGGAAUGAGCUGGAAGAGGAGCCUGCAACAAUACGGCCGAUCCUGCCCCACCUCUUCCCUCUCGUCGCAGACAUUCUCCAUCGGUUCAUUGCACGGGAUCCACUACCCCGACAGCCCCUAGCCGACGACGCCCCGUGUCCCCUGAGUCAAUACGCAGAUGACACGCUCAUCAUCACGAGGGCUAGCGUCGAGGCAACGACUUGGAUGAAGCCUAUCAUGGACAUGUUCUGCAACGCCAUUGGGCUCGUGAUCAAUUUCAACAAGGACGAUGCCAUGGCCGAGGGGUGCCGCAGGACACCGUCAAAUAGCAUGUCCAACCGGACAAUCGUCUUACGUAUCAGCCAGCUCAGCCCUAUCAUGUCCAACAUCAACACAUGUUCCUACAAACAUAAGAAGUCAAACAACGUGUCAUGUGGGCAGAGAAUAUCGCCGCUACAACAAGGACAAGGUGAAGGAGCUCAAGGCUUGAUCCUCAAGUCAGUCCCCCUAAUUUCCAUAUCAAGUAUAUUAGUUGGUUACUGCACCAUAUCCAUAUGA